AACGAACGCUGGCGGCAGGCUUAACACAUGCAAGUCGAACGCAUCCUUCGGGGUGAGUGGCAGACGGGUGAGUAACGCGUGGGAACGUGCCCUUCAGUUCGGGAUAACCCAGGGAAACUUGGGCUAAUACCGGAUACGUGCGAGAGCAGAAAGAUUUAUCGCUGAAGGAUCGGCCCGCGUCUGAUUAGCUAGUUGGUGGGGUAAUGGCCCACCAAGGCGACGAUCAGUAGCUGGUCUGAGAGGAUGAUCAGCCGCAUUGGGACUGAGACACGGCCCAAACUCCUACGGGAGGCAGCAGUGGGAAUACUGGACAAUGGGCGCAAGCCUGAUCCAGCCAUGCCGCGUGAGUGAUGAAGGCCUUAGGGUUGUAAAGCUCUUUCGUCCGGGACGAUAAUGACGGUACCGGAAGAAGAAGCCCCGGCUAACUUCGUGCCAGCCGCCGCCGUAA
rnacentral:rRNA from 1 species